GUCUUGGCUGGCUUUCGUGCUAAGAGUUGGACCUACCCUUGUAAACGGUUUCGGGGUAAAAAGACUGAAUUGGUUUCCAAGAAGACCAGCUCUUAACAAAAGAAAAUAUACUGACUCACAAACAGUUGAGUUCAGGCCAGAAUUGUUUGUUCACUGCCUGCAUGCAUUUGACCCCUUGUCCUUGAAUAAUGAGCCACUCGGAUUCCACUGCUUUUUGGUGUGAGACAGUUGCGUCUUUGAAGUUUUGGAGUUGCAUCUUUGAAAAGUCUUUGAUCUGAAGAGUCUUCACUGCUUACAAAGAAAAACAGGCAAGAGAAACCGCGCCACUUUAAAAGCAAACAGGUGCCCGUACCUGGGACCAUAGCAACUCCAUCUUUCUCUUUCAGACAGGUGCGGUUUCUUACCCACUCACCAGACGUUGCCCAUGAGACACGUUCACUCUGGCAGGAGUUUCCAAGAUUACCGAAGGCAUCCUCUUGGUUAUGGAGAUUUGAAAAGCUAAGAAAAGUCUUUCUUAUUUUCAACUCAACCUGUUUAAUCUCAUAAAAUACCAAGGAGGUAUGAAAAAGUGGCAAGUUCUCAAUACCUGCCUGCAGACAACAUCCAGAGAAAACCUGAAUAUACCAGGUGAGCACAUAAACCUUUAGAGUCCUACAAACCAUUUGAUGUUUAAACCACUAUUUAGAGAAUAAGGCAGCAAUACCCUGCUAUGGAUCCAAAGAGGAAAAUAAGUUUCCUUUCUGAAAGGGAAUGAAGUUUUAUUGGUGCUUGCCUCUUCAUACCUUCAGGAUCAUGAAAGGAUCUUGAGGUGUGCUGCGGUGUUUUUUUAGAUCAGCCUCAGUUACUGCCUAAAAAGUUAUGAACCUCUUUCAAUGCCUCUGUCACAGACUUGAAGGAAAGAGUGAAAUCAACAGCUUACCUGCCUGUGGAACUUUCCCAAUGUAGGAAGAAGAAAGAUAGAAGGAACAAGGAAAGCAGAGUGGGAUUGGGAUCAGUAUUUAUUUUAUUUGGGUGAGGAGCUAUUUGAUUAAUGAUGAUAUUAAUCCUUGAAUUUCAAGGAUACGCCUAACUUUUCUUCUACAAAAAAUAAACAUACUUCUGCUUUGGUUUUUUGUGUGCAGUGACA
rnacentral:lncRNA from 1 species